GAGGUAGAAGUAGUUAGGAUUUUUUCUCCCCCCCCCUCAAAAUGGAGAAAUUCCCCUUUUAUAGAGGGGGCUAGGUUACCUGUGAUGUGAUGGGGCAAACAGCCUUUCGUACAAUUGGGCAUGCAGUAGAAAUUAAUACUUGAUCGUGUGAGUCAAUGCUGUUACUGUAGGAGAUUAGGCCAAAGCUCUCAAGCCCUUGUGGAGUCAUGCCAUCAUUCGUAGCCAAGCAGGCUUGCCGUAAGAGGCUUCAUGUCCGUAGGCAACCGAAGCCAUACGCUUUAAUUGUUGAGUGAGCUGAGUGCCUGCAGGGGCCAUACACAUUAAUUGUUGACGAGGACAAAGUGUGGUCUUUCGGUCGCGCCGCAGGAGGGGAAUGUGACCUCAACGCAUAAGUCGGGCGUCUUCGGGUUGAUGGAACCGUUCGGCUGCUUCCGGGUCGGAGGGGGCCUGCUCGGUCGGCCCCUGCUCGGAGGAGGUCUGCUCGGUCGGCCCCUGCUCGGAGGGGGUCUGCUCGGUCGGGCGUAGCGACAUUUUCCUCCAACACUUGCUUGGUCGGGCGUAGCGACAUUUUCCCCCAACAGUACCGAUUGAUUUAGUCAUGACAAAGGUUAUUAGUGCUCAUUUUGUCAACAGUGCCAAUAGAUGGACCUGCAAUAUCAUGAUGUGAUAAUGUGGCAUGUAUGAAUCAUGCUGAUGAUUUCAACCAGUAUGAUCCGAACAAUCUCUUCCAGGCUCAGCCUUGUAAGGGAAUCAAGAUUGAACAACCUAAAUGAUUUCUAUGUCUGCUUAACAAAAACAGACCUUAUGUCACCAAAAGAACUCAUCUCAUAUUUUAGUGGCUUUUCUUCCUUAUCUCAUAUUUUAGUGACUUUUCUUCCUUCAUCACUUCACCUUUUUCAUACAUUGCACCGUCAGCUCUCUUAGUGUGUCUGAGCUUCCAAAACUAAUAUAAAUUGGACCUGCGCAUGACUUCCUGGAACCCCUUUGCUUUGAAAAUUACCAAAUUCUACCAUUUUAGAUAUUUAUGUGACAUGGAUGGCUGAAGAUUUUCCUCUUCUUUCAGCCAAAAUCCGUUAUUGUGUUGAGCUACUCGAGGAUAACCGCAUUGUUUUCCCAUUUUUCUAAUAUCAAUUGAUAAAAGCUUGCAAACAAUCGUUCAUAACAUCCUCAGAGUUGAAAACUGAUUGUUAACGCCUCAUAUCUCAUCUGACAAAAGUCACUAAACACUAAACUUUGCCAACUAUUCAAGUAAGCUGCAUUAUCUGCAGUCUCCCUC
rnacentral:lncRNA from 1 species